UUAGGUCUUGCACUGACCGUCAAUUGAGAUCUGAGAAGUAUUUUGGUUCGGAAAAGAUCCUUUGGGAUUAUAGUACCCCUUUAAUCUCAAGUGUUGCUGGUCAGUGCAAGAGCUAAUGAACUGACCAAAAGGAAGGUAAUCCAGCUUCAUGCUUCAAUGAUACAAGCUGACUUCCUCCAAGAGUCAGGAAGGAAUUUUGUUCUACCAUGGACAGCUUUGCACAUCCUUUUGAAGCAUCAGGAAUUGUUCACUACAAAAGGCAAUGUUGGGUCAUUGAUCCAGCCACUCUGAUGGUUCUUAACCUUACAUGUGCAGUAGUUUGCAAUUUACAGACAGAAUCCAGUGCACCAGACUUUCCCAAAUCUUAAACUAUAGCCUCCUAGGACUGGAAGGGACCUGGAGAGGGCAUUUAGUCCAGUCCCCUGCACUUAUGGUAGGAUUUAUUAUAAUAA